rnacentral:rRNA from 1 species
CCCUUAGAUGUUCUGGGCCGCACGCGUGCUACACUGACCGGUGCAACAAGUUUCUUUCCUUGGCUCGAUAGGCCUGGGUAAUCUUUGAACACCGGUCGUGAUGGGGAUAGAUCCUUGCAAUUUUUGAUCUUCAACGAGGAAUUCCUAGUAAAUGCGAGUCAUCAUCUCGCGUUGAUUACGUCCCUGCCCUUUGUACACACCGCCCGUCGCACCUACCGAUUGAAUGGUCCGGUGAAAUCUCCGGACUGGCGUGAGUCGGAGCAAUCUGACAAACACCGGAAAGUUGAUUAAACCUUACCAUUUAGAGGAAGGUGAAGUCGUAACA